rnacentral:rRNA from 1 species
CACGUAGGGGCCAAGCAUUGUCCGGAUUUAUUGGGCGUAAAGAGCUCGUAGGCGGCUCGGUAAGUCGGGUGUGAAACCUCCAGGCUCAACCUGGAGACGCCACCCGAUACUGCUGUGGCUAGAGUCCGGUAGGGGAGCGUGGAAUUCCUGGUGUAGCGGUGGAAUGCGUAGAGAUCGGGAAGAACAUCAGUGGCGAAGGCGGUCUGCUGGGCCGUUGCUGACGCUGAGACGCGAAAGCGUGGGGGAGCGAACAGG